rnacentral:rRNA from 1 species
UACGUAGGGAGCAAGCGUUGUCCGGAAUCAUUGGGCGUAAAGCGCGCGUAGGUGGCUUCGUAAGUCCGUUGUGAAAGUCAAAGGCUCAACCUUUGAAAGCCGAUGGAUACUGUGAAGCUAGAGUACGGAAGAGGCGAGUGGAAUUCCUGGUGUAGCGGUGGAAUGCGCAGAUAUCAGGAGGAACACCGAUGGCGAAGGCAGGUCUCUGGGCAUUAACUGACGCUGAGGAGCGAAAGCAUGGGGAGCGAACAGG